rnacentral:rRNA from 2 species
AGAGUUUGAUCCUGGCUCAGGACGAACGCUGGCGGCGUGCCUAAUACAUGCAAGUCGAGCGGACAGAUGGGAGCUUGCUCCCUGAUGUUAGCGGCGGACGGGUGAGUAACACGUGGGUAACCUGCCUGUAAGACUGGGAUAACUCCGGGAAACCGGGGCUAAUACCGGAUGGUUGUUUGAACCGCAUGGUUCAGACAUAAAAGGUGGCUUCGGCUACCACUUACAGAUGGACCCGCGGCGCAUUAGCUAGUUGGUGAGGUAACGGCUCACCAAGGCGACGAUGCGUAGCCGACCUGAGAGGGUGAUCGGCCACACUGGGACUGAGACACGGCCCAGACUCCUACGGGAGGCAGCAGUAGGGAAUCUUCCGCAAUGGACGAAAGUCUGACGGAGCAACGCCGCGUGAGUGAUGAAGGUUUUCGGAUCGUAAAGCUCUGUUGUUAGGGAAGAACAAGUGCCGUUCAAAUAGGGCGGCACCUUGACGGUACCUAACCAGAAAGCCACGGCUAACUACGUGCCAGCAGCCGCGGUAAUACGUAGGUGGCAAGCGUUGUCCGGAAUUAUUGGGCGUAAAGGGCUCGCAGGCGGUUUCUUAAGUCUGAUGUGAAAGCCCCCGGCUCAACCGGGGAGGGUCAUUGGAAACUGGGGAACUUGAGUGCAGAAGAGGAGAGUGGAAUUCCACGUGUAGCGGUGAAAUGCGUAGAGAUGUGGAGGAACACCAGUGGCGAAGGCGACUCUCUGGUCUGUAACUGACGCUGAGGAGCGAAAGCGUGGGGAGCGAACAGGAUUAGAUACCCUGGUAGUCCACGCCGUAAACGAUGAGUGCUAAGUGUUAGGGGGUUUCCGCCCCUUAGUGCUGCAGCUAACGCAUUAAGCACUCCGCCUGGGGAGUACGGUCGCAAGACUGAAACUCAAAGGAAUGACGG